rnacentral:rRNA from 1 species
UACAGAGGAGCCAAGCGUUGUCCGGAUUUAUUGGGCGUAAAGAGCUCGUAGGCGGCUUGGCAAGUCGGGUGUGAAACCUCCAGGCUCAACCUGGAGACGCCACUCGAUACUGCUAUGGCUAGAGUCCGGUAGGGGACCACGGAAUUCCUGGUGUAGCGGUGAAAUGCGCAGAUAUCAGGAGGAACACCGGUGGCGAAGGCGGUGGUCUGGGCCGGCACUGACGCUGAGGAGCGAAAGCGUGGGUAGCAAACAGG